AAGUCGUAACAAGGUUUCCGUAGGUGAACCUGCGGAAGGAUCAUUAACGAAUAACUAUGGUGUCUUGGUUGUAGCUGGCUCCUCGGAGCAUUGUGCACGCCCGCCAUUUUUAUCUAUCCACCUGUGCACCGACUGUAGGUCUGGAUGACUCUCGUGCUCUCUGAGUGCGGAUGCGAGGAUUGCCCUCUUGAGGUGUCUCUCCUCGAAUUUCCAGGCUCUACGUCUUUUUACACACCCCACAAGUAUGAUAUAGAAUGUAGCCAAUGGGCUUGAUCGCCUAUAAAACACUAUACAACUUUCAGCAACGGAUCUCUUGGCUCUC
rnacentral:misc_RNA from 1 species